rnacentral:lncRNA from 1 species
AUGCAGACGUUUCCAUUUUAAAUCUGGUUUUUAUGAUUCCAAGCACAACCCCUUCCAAGCUUUCAAAAUACAUCAUCUAUCUCACAAAGCUAGUGUUCGGAAAGUAAAGAACAUAUUACACCAUAAGCCUUGGUCUCCGCCUCUCUCAGAGAAAGAACUUCCCAAUUGCAACGCAGGUUAAACAAAAGAGAAAACUAUUAAUUUCCAUAGUGCACCCGCAUCUCUGGGGAAGAGAAACUGAAGACUCUCACCAGCUUGUAAAGAAGUCCAAAUGCGAUUACAAAAAGAUCUCUUUCAAGUUCAAACAUGCUCUGAAGACAACCAAAAGUUUUCCAACAAUAUCGAUGAUCAAAUGAAGCUCUCAAUGCAAAAAAAAAAAAGGUUGGAAUAAAACUGCAGAAAUAAAUCAAAGUCUCUUAAAUUAGAAAUCAUCAUAAUGCGGUAAGGAAUAACAAAGAUCAGAAUAGUUGGUCAAACAAAAAGACAGAAGAAAAACCAAAUAAACUGAGUCUAUCUAGGUAUAAUUUCAGAAUAGAGGAAUUAUGGGUGGCACUAGGCUUGGACGACCUAGAUCCUAAGGUGAGAAAUCUGCAGAAUAUGAAUUC